GACCCACGACACAGACGGUCUCGCCUCCGUCCUAUCCUCCUCUCGCCUCCGUCGUCUUACUCCUCCUUUCCCUGUCUCUGGAAUCCUAGAGUCAUCUUCCUCACAUGCAAGGCUAUGGCCCUCUCAAUUGAAACCAAAACGUGUCUCAGUUUUUUAUUUUUAUGGCAGUUCUGAGGAAGAGCACGAAAAAGGAAGAACCAGUAUUAGAAGGUCUUCUCAAACAGUACUUCGAUGAUUCUAAGCCAUGAAGGAUUUGAUAAACCCACAAUUGAUAACAAUGUACGGCGCCACCAAUAAUUUUGGACAAGGAACAAGUUUCAUAAUUUUCACAGGGGAUACUCACCUGCUUACCCUAUGGGCACGGGCGCCGGUGGGCUCGGCCCUUCUAUCUCCUCCAACCGCAGUUUUAAGUAGCAUAAUAACAAUGCACAUGGAGGACAAUCCAGAGCCAGUGUAGCCACUAUAAACACUAAGGAUUCCAGUAUUGCUUCUGCGCAACACGGCGGUGUACAAAAUGGAGCCCGUGUACAGCCCCAAUUACAUGGAGGUUCUGAUACACCCGUUGCAAGCAUGCUUCCCAGACAGCUGAAGCUUCAGCCUCCCAGAGAAGCUCCCGAACUGUUCCAAAGGCUCCAACUUCUCAAGAACACCCACUACGCUAGCGAAGGGAGAUGCGUUCAAGGGCUUUGCCUUUUAGUUUGGGUGUAUAAGCCUUGGUUUCAUGAAUGGGAUGCAGAAUUAUUGACGAGAGUACCAAAAAAGCAGCGGUUGUGGAUCCAGUUGAACCUGAGAAGGUUCUGAAAGCAGCCCAAGAACAUGGCUUCAGUAUCAAGCUCAUCCUCACCACUCACCAUUACUGGUGUAUUUAGACUUCCUCAUCCAAUCCCUCAUAUUCAUACUGAUAUAAUAUAUAUAUAUAUAUAUAUAUAUAUAUAUAUAUAUUUGUUUUGGGUAUUUUAGUACUUUCCAGAAAUGGAUUUAUGGGGAUUUAUAUCUUAGUUGGGUACAUGAUGCGGAUUCAUAUUCAAGGAAAAAUGAUCCCGACUCUUAAGGUCUCUUUCUUGCGUCGAUUGAUCGUCUUGCUAUGAUUUUGAGUUGUUGCAAUUAGAUCUUGAAAUUGUAUUGUACGAUUUAAUUAGUAUAGUGGUCCUCACAAAUCACCACCAAUGUAGCACCUAAUUAAUCGUAUUCAAUGUUGUGGUCUGAAAAGAAGCACUAAUUAAGGGAGUAAUAUUUAAGGUUGGAGAUAAAAGAUUCGCUAUAGCUGAUAGCUCUAGAUGUGUAAUUAAGGUAAGGAAUAUAUUUUGACUGAUGCAACUGCAUGCUCUUAUGGAUUUCCCCCAAAGAUUGGAUUUUCAGUUUUUGGGAAUGUUAACAAUUUAGUUUUUUGAUCUUUUCUUGAAAGGAUAUGAAAUUGUUUAUAGUUAGGUUGAAAACCAUAUCAAUAGAUUCUUUAUUUGGUUGGUCCAAUCUGUAACAGAUGAGAUUGUUUUGUUUGAUGUUUCAAUCAAAAUUUGAUCUUUUUUUUUUGUGUGAAAUUAUAAUGGAAUCACAAAUCAAGUAUGUCUUAGAUUCUUGGUUGCAUACUCACCUUCCCACGACUAUUAUAUUGUCUAUUGACUGGAUGCUUUUUUAUAAUUUCUAGGAUCUACGGUUGCAAUGCUUUUGAUACAUGCAGUAAGGAGGAAGCCACUACCUCUUAUGGAGCUUCUUUGGCAUGGUAAGUUGAAGUUGCAUGUCAUUUUUUUUUUUCGUUCAUGGAAUUCAUUAUCUUGCUAUCUUGGCAAUUAGCAAUGUCUGACGAUUGGUAAAAUGUUAAUAAAUUUGUUGAAGUUUGAAUCGUACACAUGAAAGUGAAUUUUAACAACUCUAACUUAGAUUUCUUAAUAAUUUGAUCCGUCUUUCUUUCAUUUGUUUUCGACUAUUUUACUUUUUUUCUAUACAAGUACAACUAUUGAUCGAAAGCCACAGAAAAUACCCAACGGCUGAGAAACUGUUUUUGUUACAAGAAUAGAUUGAUUAUGAUAAUGCUUAAAUUUUGGGCAGUUAAAUAUAUGUGUUUUGUUUGGCAAUUACAAUCACUUGCAUGAAAAUCCAAUUGGAUUUGUUCUGGUCUCCAAGAAUUUUUCUUUGAUUAUUGAUUAAUUUAUGUGGCAUGAGUUUAGGUUUUGCUUUUCUGCCCAUGUAUAUUUGAUUUGAAAUGGACAGCUCAAUUUGCUGUAUAUAAAUUAGUAAUCAAAAAACUCCAAGGAGAGGUAAAUUAGAAACAAUGGUGGAAGAGUGAUGGAGUUGAGGAGUCGAUAGUUUACCGGGUUUACUUGAAUUUCUGAUUGAUGUCCAUGGUAUUGAUAGAUCAUUGAGACUGACUGAUUGGUUGAUUAAUCACUAAUUUGAAAUACUUAAAUUGUAACAUUCUUUAAUUCCUUUUCGUUUUGUAUUUUCAUUGGAUUCGAAAAAUGAAACGAAUCCAAUCAACUACUCAGCCUUCGAAUAUGUUUACAUCUUAUUGCUAACUUUAAAUAUGUUAAUUUGUCCCCGUUUCUAUAAAAUUUUGUGCGAUGUGAACAAUGUGGGUUAUUCUCAAUCUUCUGAUGGUGAUUAUUUGGCAACUUCUGCAAACAUGGCUACUCAGCCUUUGAAAUACAGAGCUGAGGAUGAGAGCAGUCAGAUGAGCUAGAAUUGGGUUUGUAUCAUUCUAAAUUAUUCGUUUGGUUACCGAUAGAAAAUAUGGUUGUCGAGUUCAGUUUUUUAUUUUCAUCAUCUUAAACAUUUUCCUUUGA